rnacentral:SRP_RNA from 1 species
ACUGGGCGCAGUGGUGUGUGCCUGUAGUCCCAGCUACGCGGGGGGCUGAGGUGGAAGGAUCGCUUGAGCCCAGGAGUUGUGGGCUGUAGAGCACUAUGCCAAUCGGGUGUCCGCACUAAGUUCGGUAUCAAUAUGGUGACCUCCCAGGAGCGGGGGACCACCAGGUUGCCUAAGGAGGGGUGAACCGGCCCAGGUCGGAAACAGAGUAGGUCAAAACUCCUGUGCUGAUCAGUAGUGGGAUCCCACCUGUGAAUAGCCACUGCAUUCCAGCCUGGGCAACAAACAUAUCGAAACCCUGUCUCU